rnacentral:rRNA from 1 species
UUCGCAAUGCCCGAAAGGGUGACGAAGCGACGCCGCGUGCGGGAAGAAGGCCUUCGGGUUGUAAACCGCUGUCGGGAGUUAAGAAAUGCGGAGAUGUUAAUAGCGUCUUUGCUUGACUAAGGCUCCGGAGGAAGCCACGGCUAACUCUGUGCCAGCAGCCGCGGUAAUACAGAGGCGGCGAGCGUUGUUCGGAAUUAUUGGGCGUAAAGAGCACGUAGGCGGCUAUGUAAGUCGGUUGUGAAAGCCUUCCGCUCAACGGGAGAACAGCAUCCGAUACUGCAUGGCUUGAGUGCGGGAGGGGAGAGUGGAACUUCUGGUGGAGCGGUGAAAUGCGUAGAUAUCAGAAGGAACGCCGGCGGCGAAAGCGGCUCUCUGGCCCAUAACUGACGCUGAGUGUGCGAAAGCUAGGGGAGCAAACGGGAUUAGAUACCCCGGUAGUCCUAGCCGUAAACAAUGGGCACUAAGUAGAGGGGUUUU